GACGAACGCUGGCGGCGUGCUUAACACAUGCAAGUCGAACGCUGAAGCACCAGCUUGCUGGUGUGGAUGAGUGGCGAACGGGUGAGUAAUACGUGAGUAACCUGCCCUUGACUCUGGGAUAAGCCCGGGAAACUGGGUCUAAUACUGGAUGCUACAUGUCACCGCAUGGUGGUGUGUGGAAAGGGUUUACUGGUCUUGGAUGGGCUCACGGCCUAUCAGCUUGUUGGUGAGGUAAUGGCUCACCAAGGCGACGACGGGUAGCCGGCCUGAGAGGGUGACCGGCCACACUGGGACUGAGACACGGCCCAGACUCCUACGGGAGGCAGCAGUGGGGAAUAUUGCACAAUGGGCGAAAGCCUGAUGCAGCGACGCCGCGGGAGGGAGGACGGCCUUCGGGUUGUAAACCUCUUUCAGCAGGGAAGAAGCCACAAGUGACGGUACCUGCAGAAGAAGCGCCGGCUAACUACGUG
rnacentral:rRNA from 1 species